GACGGGGGCCCGCACAAGCGGCGGAGCAUGUGGAUUAAUUCGAUGCAACGCGAAGAACCUUACCUGGGCUUGACAUACACCAGAUCGGCGCAGAGAUGCGUUUUCCCUUGUGGUUGGUGUACAGGUGGUGCAUGGUUGUCGUCAGCUCGUGUCGUGAGAUGUUGGGUUAAGUCCCGCAACGAGCGCAACCCUUGUCUUAUGUUGCCAGCACGUGAUGGUGGGGACUCAUGAGAGACUGCCGGGGUUAACUCGGAGGAAGGUGGGGAUGACGUCAAAUCAUCAUGCCCCUUAUGUCCAGGGCUUCACACAUGCUACAAUGGUCGGUACAACGCGUGUGCGACACUGUGAGGUGAAGCUAAUCGCUCUAAAGCCGGUCGUAGUUCGGAUUGGGGUCCGCAACUCGACCCCAUGAAGUCGGAGUCGCUAGUAAUCGCAGAUCAGCAACGCUGCGGUGAAUACGUUCCCGGGCCUU
rnacentral:rRNA from 1 species